AGAAGGUGAAAAUCCGUUCAGAUCCUACAGCAAUUAAAGUACUGGUGUAAGAAUUUUAAAAUACAUAUCUAGCUGCUGCAGAUUUAGACUCUUAUGUGCAUCCACAGAAAUAAUAAAUGUAAUGGGAAGAUCUUUUCCUGUGCUGUUAUCUUGGAAUGCUCUGAUGAAUAAGAGAAGGAUGAUGUAACCUAGAACCUAGUUGCGUAUUUAUUGAGUGCAGUAUAGUGGUAGCAAUGCCAAACUGCAUUGCAACUCCACUGGCAACGCUGCUAAAUACACAUUAGUUUUAAUUGAUGGGAGGGCCUUAAACUUUAGAGGAGGUGCACUGAAAAUAGUGGAUUUUCUCUUACCAUUCCUGUCAUGAGUGUGGGUUUUUUUUCCCAUUUGUUUUUUAUUUUUUCUUCUGUUGCAUUACAUGUCAAAAUAGAGUUCUUGAUAAAACUACAUAAAUCAUGCCCUCUUGCAUAUCGUUCAGAUCAUAAAAACAAUAAAAUCAGAAAUGACUGUAUAGUAUCUCAUAGGAGGCAAAGAAAUAUUUAUUUUAAAUACAGCAGAAGCAAUAUCUCAGUGGGGAGGCUGUUCUGAAGACAGAUCCAGGUUGUGGUUUGAUUUGUAAAAGACUAUCCUUAGCAUGACAGCCAUAAACUUAAAUGCUUUUUCCUUAAAAGAGAAAAAUGCACAGUUAUGUUCUACAAAUACAUACUUUACUGUCACUAAUAAAUUGAAACUUGUUCCUGUGGUACAUCUGCAAAAAUCUGCAGGCGUCUCAUCUAAAGGUUUUGUGGUGUGGCCCAACUCAAAGAAAAACUAGCUUCUGUCUUUGUGGAAUCUCUUUUGAAGUUCAGGGAGAUGGCUCAUUAAAGGUGAGUUUUGUUACACUGCUAUCAUUUGUAUUCAGCCAGACCAAAGUAAGUUUCAUAAAGUAAACCACCUAGUUUUGGGGAACUAUCAUCACCUCACAUAUUUGCUUUCCCAAGUGUAACGCUGGUUUGUACUGAAACUCAGGUUAUCUCAGUGUUCACAUAAGACUUGGAUAGACAGUCUCAGUGCAUGAGGAAGACAGUCUCAGUGCAUGAGCCCAUCUGGCAAGAUGCAAGCUCUGAUACAAGUGUGGCAGUGGGGGCAUUUGAGUAGAAGCAGGAGUAUGUGCUCAGGGACAGUCUACGUCUUUUCACACCUUUCAGCUUUCAGCAGCCUCUUGACAAUCUAAUAAUAUCUUUUCUCCAUGGUUACUAUCAAACUCCGAGAUAUUAAAGAAGCAGGUAGAAGGCAGUAUACUUUGGCUGUUUCAUCUUCUGUUUCACAAAAGGUGAGCUUUGGCUUUACCUUCCAGUAAAGUGAGCACACUUUACCUUCUAGUGCUGAAACUGUGGAGGCUUCAUGAGGAGCAUCAUUUUUCCCCACUUUUUAUGAUGAAAACCUACAAGAGAUCAAGUACAGAAAGGAAUUGGUUGCUCAGUGUAAGAGUUUAUGGAACAUAUAUUUAUAUGGACAAUAUGGUUACAACUCAACACAGUAUUUUUUUGGAUACAAGAUGUAGUGUGUCCCUGGAGGUAUUCAAGAAAUGUCUAGAUGUUGUACUGAGGGCAUGGUUUAGUGACAGAAUAUUGGUGGUAGGAGGAUGAUUGGACUGGAUGAUCUUGGAGGUCUUUUCCAACCUUGGUGAUUCUAUUUUUCAGCACAACAGUACCCCAGCAGCUCACAGCAUUAGCCCACUUGGAGUUGUUUCAAGGAAACCUUCCCCUGAAUUAGUGUGAGUGAUGGGAGAGAAACAGUGUGUUAAUGUGCUUCUGGAAGCUGCUAUUGCUGUUAGUCAUAGGGAGGAAGUCUGGGCUCAUGGUGGAAAGAGGAAGGGAGGGAAAUGAAGAAGAAUGAGGGCAGGAUUGAUGAUGUGCUUAUAAGAGGAGAAAAAGAAUGAAAUAGACAACUAGGUAACUCUUGAGCUUAUGAUUCAUCACGUUCAGCUUCAGUCUGCAUCUUUAGUAUCUAAAGGCCUGUCAGUAUCUAAACGGAAAUAUAGGAAGGGGACAGACUAUACUUAUUAGGGUCUGUCAUGAAAGGACAGGGGGAAAUGGUUUCAAAUUAAAAGAGGAGAGAUUUAGACUGUAUGUAGAGAAAAUGGUUUUUACAAUAAAAGUAGUGAAGCUCUGAAACAGGUUGCCUAGAUUAGUGGUAGGUGCUCCAUCCCCGAAGAUGUUCAAGAUCAGGCUUGAUCAGGCUCUGAGCAACCUGAUGUAGUUGUAGGUGUCCCAGUUCAUUACAGGGGAGUUGGACUAAAUGACCUUUAAGGGUCUCUUCCAACUCAACCAAUUCUAUAAUUCUAUGAUUUGUGCUCAGCUGAGAGCAGUGUUUGUCUCUUCUCUGCAGGGUGUCCAUAUGUGUCAUCAGUUCUCUGAAAUGUUUUCUGUAGCUACACAUAGCUAACAUUUCAAAGCAAAUGUAUUUAUUUAAUUACUUACUUCUAUGACAAUCUAUUAAUUUGCCAGUUUUAAUCUUUUGUUACAUUUUGUGAGAAGGAGACCAUGUAUUCUCUUGUGAUGUGUUUAACAAUUAGUUGUCACUGAAGGCUGAUAUUUGAAAUACAUUUAAAAUAAGAACUGCAGUUGUAUGUGCUUCACUGUAAGUACAUAAUGAAUUAAGGCAUUCAGUUUUGUUCUUAACAAAUGCUAAAGCUGAAAGAUUAAAUGUAUAGAGAAUUUACUCAAGUUGUUCCUCAAGCUCAUUUAGGCUUGAAUAACAGCUAUGAAGUAAUGAAAAGCCAGUUUUAACGAAGGUUUUUAGACAAAAAUUUGAAUUGAAUAUUAAACUCCUUCUUCCAAAUUAAAGUGUAACCAGUAUCUGUUACCUAGUCUAGCAUAUAGUGUUAACUGCAGAAGUUUUGGGAAAAUACAUUGAUCCUUGAAGGUGUCACACUCAUAAAUCAGUCAGAUAUAAAUUUGUAUGUUUAUAUGACAGUCUGAGCUUGUCUUGUUGUCAGUGAAGGUUCUAGCUUUACCAAAAAUAAAACAAAAGUCAGAUUCAAGAUAUUUUUUUUGGUGUUAUGACCCAUAAGCAUCCUUCCUAAGUAUCUAAAGGAAGAUUGGAGGCAAAUGGAUGAGCCCAGGCUCUUCUCAGUGGUGUAUAGUGAUAGGACAAGGAGCAGCGGCCUAAAAUUGAUCAUAGGAAGUUCCAUACAAACGUGAGGCCUCACCUCAAGUACUGUGUUCAGUUUUGGGCAUGUCAGUACAGAAGGGACAUCAAGGUUCUGGAGCAGGUCCAAAGAAGGGCAACAAGGCUUGUGAAGGGCUUGGAGAAUAUGCCCUAUGAGGAGCAACUGAAGGAACUGGGGCUCUUUAGUCUGGGGAAGAGGAGGCUGAGGGGAGACGUUAUUGCUCUCUUCCAUUACCUGAAAGGUGCUUACAGCAAGAGCAGGGUUGGUCUCUUCUCACUGGUGACAGGUGACAGGACAAGGGGAAAUGGCCUCAAGUUGUGCCAGGGUAAGUUAAGUUUGGAUGUCAGGAAACACUUCUUUACAGAAAGGGUUGUUAAGCACUGGAGGGAGGUGGUUGAGUCACCAUCCCUGGAUGUGUUUAAAAACUGCUUGGAUGUGGUGAUUUAGCAGAGGGUUGUUAGAGUUAGGGUAGUAUGGUUAGGUCGUGGUUGGACUUGAUGAUCUUUAAGGUCUUUUCCAACCUGAGCGAUUCUAUGAUUCUAUGUGGAAGAACUUUAUAGUAAGGGUGACAGAGUGCAGGAACAGGUUUCCCAAAGAGGUUGUAAAGUCUUCUAUGGAGAUAUUCAAGACCCAUUUGGAUGCCUACUUAUGCAACCUGUUGUAGGGAACCUGCUUUAGCAGGGGGGUUGGACUUGAUGGUCUUUUGAGGUCCCUUCCAACUCCUUCAGUUCUGUGAUUCACAUAGCAUGACUAUGACUUAUAGACUUUGCUGAAGAUGAACACCUUGGAAGUAUUAAAUUUAAACUGUAUUGUUGGACAAAAACUUUUCCAAAAGCUUGCUUUUGGAAGUUUCUUCUUGUUACUAAUAAAUACCAUCUUUGACUUCCUUAAGUUUAUCUACUGAAAGAAUAAGAAGUCUUAAGACAGCUUUAAAUGAUGAAAUUAAUGAAACACAGGCACAAGAUUUUAUCUCCUCCAGUGGUUAUAGUUACAAAGUCAUUACUAACAUUACCUGGGCCUUUUUUGGUUGUGAGGAUUUGUUUUUAACACUUUCUAUAGGUUUCAGUUAAAUGUUGUCUGUUUCUUUAUUUGAAACGACAUAAUUGGAAUGCAAGUACCAAAAUUAAUUAGGCAUUUUUUAGUUCAUUCAGAGUAACUGUAACAAGGCUGGUGGAGAUUGAAUUUACCUCUCUUUUUCUGCUUGUUCCCAGACUGUAAUUUGUGGGAUUUACUACAGAGAUUUUACUGUCACCAAAUAUGAGAUUUAGACAAUUAUUUCACCUAAAUUACAUUGAAUUAAUAAUUAAUUUUGUUUUCCUGUUAUAAUACAGAAAUCUACCGGUUUGAUCUUUGCAGUUAUAAUUCAGAUAGUUUAAAUAUUACCAGAAAUGUGAACACCUGUACGCUUUCUGAGUACUUUUAACACUGUUAGGCAGCUUGAUUUGAACAGAUGCUUUAUUUCAUUGCCUUUCUUAAAAUACAAACACUGCUGAAUAGUAUUCUGUCUGAUUUUUGACUUUAUUGUUCUGUUGGUAUUUUUUUUUCUUUUGUUUUGUUUUUCUGUUGGCUUCCUGAGCAGCUGCUAGGCAUUUUCUCCUUAAUAUAAUCGAGGAUGCUUUGCUGCGAGUAGAUAGAAGCUGAAUAUAAAUGCUUUCCCCUCCCCCAGAAGCUCAAAUGCAAAUGAGUAUGUAAGCAUAAUAAACAGUUGCCUUUUGUCAUAACUAAAUGCAGAAAUCAAUAAUGCAGUAUAAAAUCUGUC
rnacentral:lncRNA from 1 species